ensembl:lncRNA
GAAAGAUUCAAAGCAAUUACAAGGGCACAGUCUGGGUGGACUAGGCUGUUCUAGAGAGAAAGUCUGGGUGUGUCUCCCCUACGGCAAACAGCAGCAACCUGGGAAGCCAAGAAUUGCAACAGGUUCCCCCUGACAUCUGGUGAUGGAUCAGUCCUGGACAGUAUAAAAGGGAACUUCCUCCACUGGAGUUCUAUAUCGCUCCUUCUCUUCUGGGAUUCCUCUCCAGGCUCUUUCUGGGCUCGAACAAUCCAGAUGGUUUCAUAAGAGACCUUUUUGACAAAUCUAAGGGUGAAAAUGGAGAAGUCAGCUUUAACAAUUAUAUGAAAAUCGUGGGCAAAAUGGCAAUCAUCUACCAUAAGCGGAGCCAUGGUGAUAUGACCUGUGAUGACCGAAGAUGAACACCACUGAAUCAUGUUGAUGAGAUCCAUGGAUAGAAGGGAUGAAUCUGACCCAUCCUAGCACAGAGAUGAAGUUGAACCAAUAAAACAUCUCCUUUACCUUAUAUUAUGGCUCUU